GACGAACGCUGGCGGCGUGCUUAACACAUGCAAGUCGAGCGGUAAGGCCUCUUCGGGGGUACACGAGCGGCGAACGGGUGAGUAACACGUGGGUGACCUGCCCUCAGCUCUGGGAUAAGCCUGGGAAACUGGGUCUACUACCGGAUAUGACCACAUGAUGCAUGGUGUGUGGUGGAAAGUUGUUUCGGCUGGGGAUGGGACCGGGGCCUAUCAGCUUGUUGGUUGGGUGAUGGGCUACCAAGGCGACGACGGGUAGCCGGCCUGAGAGGGCGACCGGCCACACUGGGACGGAGACGCGGCACAGACUCCUACGGGAGGCAGCGGUGGAGAAGAUUGCGCAAGGGGCGGAGGCCUGACGCAGCGACGCCGCGUGGGGGAUGACGGGCUUCGGGUUGUAAACCUCUUUCGACCGGGACGAAGCGUAAGUGACGGUACCGGUAGAAGAAGCACCGGCUAACUACGUG
rnacentral:rRNA from 1 species